rnacentral:lncRNA from 10 species
GGAGGUGGCAGUGAGCCGAGAUCACAUCACUGCACUCCAGCCUGGGCUACAGAGUGGGACUCUGUCUCAAACAAACAAACAAACAAACAAACAUAUGGAUGAAAUCAGAACAUUGUGGGAAUUCUUUAUAAUCAUGGUUUGGUUUUUACUUGAAUUACAGCUGGACGGUGGGCACCAUGAUCUUUCCCAGGCUAAGGCAUCUGAAUAACUUUGUUGUUGUUGUUUUUGCAUGGUUUUGUUCUGUCGCCCAGGCUGGAGUGCAGUGGCACAAUCCUAGCUUGCUGCAGCCUCCACCACACAAGCUCAAGCAAUCCUCCCACCUCAGCCUCCCGAAUGGCUAGAACUACAGGUGCGUGCCACCAUGCCCAGCCAAUUUUUAUAUUUUUUGUAGAGAUAGGGUUUCGCCACGUUGCUCAGGCUGGUCUCCAACUCCUGGGCUCAAGCAAUCUGCCUGCCUUGGCCUCCCAAAGUGCUGGGAUUACAGGUGCGUGCCACCACGCCUGGCCUUGAAUGUCUUAAUUCACUUAGGGCUUGGGCCAGCAUCUCUGGUGUGGCUUUCUACCUCUGCCAAUGCCACUCGCCUUGCACUCUGACAUCUCUGAGCCUUUGCUCUGUCUGCAGUUCUCUUCCCAAAUCAUCAUCUCCCUUGUCUAAACCCACUCAUCCUUCCAGGCCUAGCCUUCCUAGAUGUCCUAUGGAUGUGCCCUCCAAGGCUUGCACCUGCAUCUUCCUACCCUGUGCCAUGGUGGUUGGUGGCUGGGACUGUUUGGGGAACAGCUGGUUUGACAGAGACAUCUCUGGGGGCUGUGGGCAUAUGGACCCAUAAGCCAGAGGGAGACCUCUGCAAUGAACCUGGGACCCUUCCUGGGGUUGCUGUGGCUGGGGAGUGUCCUCCUCUCUUGCCCCUUCCCUCCCUCUAAUCCUGGUCCAGAUGCAGGAUUGCACACAUGGGGAAACUGAGGCCACAGUGGGCAUGACCUACGCAGGAUCCCCUAGCUAGAAAACCACAUAGCAGAUCUGGUUCCAAAGUUGGGCCCAUCUCCUGGCAUCUUCUAUUAGGCCUUAGUGUGGAUUGGGAUGGGCCAGGAAACCUCCCUCUUCCUUCCCAGUGCACCCACAUGGCUGGCUUUGUUAAUCUUCCAUAUGUGGGUAAACAUCUUGUGCAGGACCAGAACAUAUGUGUGUGUGUGGUGGGGGUGGGGGGCAAGUUCUCCAUCUAUCUGCCCCACAUGGAACUUUCUGUACGAUAUGGCCCCAUGUCCAUGGGGGAGGGGGUUGAGAAAGAAUGAGGAGACAGUGCCUGGGGGUUGGGGAGGGGUCUGUGUUUGGAGGAUAGUAGCCUUGAACACGGGCAAUCUCUGGAAGUGAGUGAGCACCUCUUAUGUUAGGGGUUGUUGGGAGGGGGGCCUUCCACCUCCUUUGACCCAGUCCCUUUAUUCUUAGGGAUGUUGCCCCAGGGAGGUUCCCUGGGUAAUUCCCUUUUCCUCUCCUUUAGAGCAGGUCGGACCACAGCUUGCUGGGGGCCUAAGGCCUGGGGAAGGCAUGCUUUGAGCAUGAGGUCCUGUCCCCUAGGGUGGGAAGGUGGGGCUGAGAGGGAUCGGAUCCUCCAGCCCUGGAAGGCAGCAGCCCCAGGGGAAGGGGGCAACAGCUGUGGUGCGGGCCAGGAACCUGACACCAGGAGUGGGCCCCAAACACCCUCCAGAAAGAGCAGGGAAGGGCAAGCAGGCGCCCCAGGGGCAGCAACAGCAGGCACAGAUGCUCUGGGGUGGGCCCACCAGUCCCUGCUCAGCCUCCUUGCCAUGUGGGUAUCAUGCUUCUCUUGUUGUCUCUGAUGAAGGGGAGAAAUAGUGCUACAAUCCCAGCGUGAGGCAACCAUGAGGAAAUUCUUCCUCUAGUUUUCCUUGGCUUAGAACUAUCUUCUGAGGGUAUCCCCAGGAGGCCACAGGCCAGGCAUGCCCCUUCCCUAGGUCCUUGGGGAAGGUGUUCUAGGUUCCACAGGUGGGUUAAGCUGGGGGAGUCCUCCCUGGCUUUGCAGUAAGGGCUCUAGGCUUGAGCAUGGCUCAACCAGUGGCUGUGUCACUUUGGAUAGGUUAGCUAAUGUCUCUGAGCCCUGUCUACUCGUUGGUAACCUGAGCUUGGCCUGGGUGAGUUGAUGCUGCAGGACAAGCAGUUCUCAAUCCCAGCUCCCUGUCAGGGCCUGAGGAGGCAGUUAGCCCUGUGUCCCGUGUCCUGUGUCCCCAACCCUUCCAUGUAUCAGAAUGCCUGGGCUCCACCACAGGCUUCAGUACACGGAGAGCGUCCCGGAAUGCAGA